CCACCUGCCUGUUGGGAGAAGUCACAACAAAACCUUACCACUCCCAGUCUCCUCUGUAUGAUGCUCAUUCAGUGCAGCAGAUUGGGAGCUGAAAGUUUCAUCAAUAAAUAUGACUCUGAUGGCUUCAUGUCAACGGUCAAGGCAUUUGAGGAAUAAAAUAAUUUCUACAGCGCCCAUGGAAACAAGGUA